CAGCAUCACUGACCCUCAGACAGCUUUGUGAUGCGCUUAGCAAGAGUGCACAAAAAUUGCUUUACAGGGGAACCCAUCUUGGCUUUGUGCUAGCUCUGAACCCGUGCGCCCCGAAGGAAAGCAUCUAAACUCUUUUGAAGAUUUGCAUUUCCAUGAGUCAGGAAUCAUGAACAAGGAAGCUAACAGGAAAACAAUAGCCCAUCGCCCAGCAGAUUCAAACAGCAGGAAGACAACUUUGCCAACGAAUAAGUAAGUAAAUCCAUUACUUCUCAAAGCACUGAUAAGUAACAUCAAUAAGAGUUUCAUUAUUGAUGCGCCCAUGCUCUAAGCAGCAG
rnacentral:lncRNA from 1 species